AAAAAAUAUUUUUUUGUAUUUUAUAUCGGGUAAAAUAUACAUAAAAUAAAUAAGUUUGAUAACAGGUCUACAGGUUAAAUUAUAAUUGUAAUCUGGGGGUGAAGACUGAGUUUAUAGACUUAAUAUUUUUUAUUACAAAUACGGAUAUGUAAUAAUGCAAACAUACGAGCUUCUUAUGAAGAUAAGAAAGGCGAAUACACCAAGAAAAAUGGAAGGAAAUGAGAUUUUCUUUUGGGAAGAUGUGUACUUGCAUAAGAAAGCCUCACCGAUUGUUUUCUGCUGUUCAAUGAAAGUGUGGGCCAAAAAAGAGUAAAGCUGGAGCAACAAAAUUGGAAUCCUUGAGAUGAUGUCUGCUUCUAAUUGUUGCUUUCAGAAUCGUUCUUCCAAAUAGCUCUUCAGAAAAUAAUACUCGAACAUUCAAAUCCAUGAACUCGAUACUGUACCCUGUACCUCCCGAACCUGCUUUUUUCUUUGAUAUAAAGAUAAUUUAAAUCUUGAUGGUUGUUCUACACUGUUAGAAAAUGUAAUAUUGUUAUGAAGAGAUGCAGUGUGUAAGAAAUAUGUGCGAGUUACUGGAAAUAUGAACAUCCAGUAAACGUCGGAAAGAAAAUUUAAUAGAAGAAUCAACAAUCAAUACAAGGACUAUCGUACCUAUUUAUAAACUAGUUUUUUACUAAUAAAUUUUAA